UCUUGAUAUUACUGAGAUAGGUGCAACUAAGUGUAAUUGAUCAACUCCUCAAAUGCUGUGAUUGACAUUCGGGCGGCGGAUUUUGCGAAAGUCUAUAAAGUGAUAUACAGCGUGAAAAGCUUUUAGACCUCCACAAGGAAUUAUGUAGAUAAACGUUCGUGGGUACCUGUUGUUGACGCAGCGUGUUGGCCGGCAGUGCUUUCCUCAAGAAAUAAUCCCUCUGUUUCAGCUGUUUUCCAAGAAAGAAUUAAACUCUAGACGCCUGGAGGAGAGUAAAAAAAAAAAAA